rnacentral:ncRNA from 1 species
ACAAAGUUUUGGUCCUAAACUUGCCCUUGUUUUUAAUCAAGAUUACACAUGCAAGUCUCAGCACACCAGUGAAAAUGCCCAAAGCCCCCAAACAGACCACCGGAGCAGGUAUCAGGCCCAAGUACAUCUUAGCCUAAGACACCUUGCCAUGCCACACCCCCACGGGCACUCAGCAGUGAUUAACCUUAACUAUAAGCGAAAGCUUGACUUAGCUAUGAUUAACAAAAGUCGGUAAAUUUCGUGCCAGCCACCGCGGUUACACGAAAGACUUAAUACAACGGCAAUCGGCGUAAAGCGUGACCACGGUAACUAUCACAAAUAUUAAAGAUAAACCACUACAAAGCCGUAAAACGCCACUAUAAAUGGUAAACACUUCUCCGUCUUUAAAGCACCAGACUACUUCACCUCACGAAAGCUAAGACACAAACUGGGAUUAGAUACCCCACUAUGCUUGGCCCUAAACAUAGACAACAAAAAUACAAUGUUGUCCGCCAGAGAACUACAAGCGAAAAACUCAAAACUCUAAGGACUUGGCGGUGCUCCACACCAGCCUAGAGGAGCCUGUCCUAUAAUCGAUACCCCACGUUAAACCUUACCACCUUUGGCCCCUCAGCCUAUAUACCGCCGUCGCCAGCAUACCUUGUGAAAGAAACAGCAGUAUGCACAAUAGUUAUUAACUAACACGUCAGGUCAAGGUGUAGCACAUGAGGUGGAAGAGAUGGGCUACAUUUUCUACCACAGAACAGACGAAAGACGCAAUGAAACAUGCACCUGAAGGCGGAUUUAGCAGUAAGACAAACAAGAAAUGCUAUCUUAAACUCGCUCUGGAGCGCGCACACACCGC